ensembl:lncRNA novel transcript
AGAGGCUGGCGGGAUCCUCCAUAUGCUGAACGCUGGUUCCCCGGGUCCCCUUCUUUCUUUCUCUAUACUUUGUCUCUGUGUCUUUUUCUUUUCCAAAUCUCUCGUCCCACCUUACGAGAAACACCCACAGGUGUGUAGGGGCAACCCACCCCUACAUCUGGUGCCCAACGUGGAGUCUUUUCUCUAGGGUGAAGGUACGCUCGAGCGUGGUCAUUGAGGACAAGUCGACGAGAGAUCCCGAGUACAUCUACAGUCAGCCUUACGACAUUUGAAGUUCUACAAUGAACCCAUCAGAGAUGCAAAGAAAAGCACCUCCGCGGAGACGGAGACAUCGCAAUCGAGCACCGUUGACUCACAAGAUGAACAAAAUGGUGACGUCAGAAGAACAGAUGAAGUUGCCAUCCACCAAGAAGGCAGAGCCGCCAACUUGGGCACAACUAAAGAAGCUGACGCAGUUAGCUACAAAAUAUCUAGAGAACACAAAGGUGACACAAACCCCAGAGAGUAUGCUGCUUGCAGCCUUGAUGAUUGUAUCAAUGGUGUCUGCAGGUGUACCCAACAGCUCCGAAGAGACAGCGACCAUCGAGAACGGGCCAUGAUGACGAUGGCGGUUUUGUCGAAAAGAAAAGGGGGAAAUGUGGGGAAAAGCAAGAGAGAUCAGAUUGUUACUGUGUCUGUGUAGAAAGAAGUAGACAUAGGAGACUCCAUUUUGUUAUGUACUAAGAAAAAUUCUUCUGCCUUGAGAUUCUGUUAAUCUAUGACCUUACCCCCAACCCCGUGCUCUCUGAAACAUGUGCUGUGUCCACUCAGAGUUGAAUGGAUUAAGGGCGGUGCAGGAUGUGCUUUGUUAAACAGAUGCUUGAAGGCAGCAUGCUCCUUAAGAGUCAUCACCACUCCCUAAUCUCAAGUACCCAGGGACACAAAAAGUGCGGAAGGCCGCAGGGACCUCUGCCUAGGAAAGCCAGGUAUUGUCCAAGGUUUCUCCCCAUGUGAAAGUCUGAAAUAUGGCCUCGUGGGAAGGGAAAGACCUGACCGUCCCCCAGCCCGACACCCGUAAAGGGUCUGUGCUGAGGAGGAUUAGUAAAAGAGGAAGGAAUGCCUCUUGCAGUUGAGACAAGAGGAAGGCAUCUGUCUCCUGCCUGUCCCUGGGCAAUGGAAUGUCUCGGUAUAAAACCCGAUUGUAUGCUCCAUCUACUGAGAUAGGGAAAAACCGCCUUAGGGCUGGAGGUGGGACCUGCGGGCAGCAAUACUGCUUUGUAAAGCACUGAGAUGUUUAUGUGUAUGCAUAUCUAAAAGCACAGCACUUAAUCCUUUACAUUGUCUAUGAUGCAAAGACCUUUGUUCACAUGUUUGUCUGCUGACCCUCUCCCCACAAUUGUCUUGUGACCCUGACACAUCCCCCUCUUCGAGAAACACCCACAGAUGAUCAAUAAAUACUAAGGGAACUCAGAGGCUGGCGGGAUCCUCCAUAUGCUGAACGCUGGUUCCCCGGGUCCCCUUCUUUCUUUCUCUAUA